rnacentral:lncRNA from 1 species
UUUCAGAGGUAUCCUGAUGUCAAAAUGAGGCAUAUGGUGUAUUCAGAUGGAUGCCUGUAGACAGCAAGUAACUGUGGUCUUGGUUCCAAGGCAUCAGUAAGGUUCUGCCACUUCAAUGUGCAUAGAGGAUAAGGAUGGCAAGGAGACUAUGGCCAGAACCUUAGAGAACUCUCAGGUAGAGUCAGGGGCUGGUACCUCAUUGGGCAUCACGUGGACCUCUGUAUCUAGUAGUGCAGCGUUCAGUGCCUUCUUAGUAUCAAGAGGAAGCACAAGGUCUUGUGAACCUAUGCCAGCGACAUUGUGCAUUUCAUAA